CCUUAAACACUUCAGCAUGGAUAUCUGAUGAAUACAGUUUAAAACCACCAUCCACAGCAUUGAGAUAAAAAGGACUGUCCCUCCCACCACAGAAGGAAUGAGCAAUGUGACCUGGGGACUUGUCAAGAUUAUUUUCAUAGACUCAGGAAAGUGCACCACACUGAAGUCAUCAAACCGAAGACACAGCAUCAUGGAGAUCAUCUGAUGACAGAGCAGCUGCACAGAAGCAUUGCAGACUCUGCAGAGGAUGCAACCAACAGCAUCAUGACCACUGUGACAAAACAAGACUAAUAGUUCUCAUAAGAUGCUUCUGAACUGGGAACACCAGUUUCCCAUCCCAGGACAAGAGAACAAAUCCCAUAAGCCGUGAGGAUCAGCCUUAAAGAGAUAAAUAGUUUUUUCCUUAUGGCAUUGUAUAGUCUCUUCCACUUUGCCUGUUCUGUUCAUCCAAGUGCAGUGAGAAGUACUAGCAGCAGCACAGAUGCCACGACACCAACAAGAAAUCUAGAGCAAUGGGCUUGUUCAUCACCAAGUAUACCAGUGAGUCGAGACUGGCCUGUGUUCCAUCCAGGGCACGGGAGGUGGUGUUCACACUUCUGCCAGAGUGAGUAGUAAUUUUCUCAAAGUCUCCUCUACUUGUAUGAUUCCCACCUCUGGGAAUACAGCUCUGGUUGUUCGUAUAAACAAUGAGUCAGUAAUUUCUCCAGGAAUAGUGCCUGAAUGAUCAGCCGGAUUUCCAGCCUUGGUGAUUUCUAAAAUUAGAGUCUCUAUGUACAGACAAGUCUCAGAAUCCUAUUCCUAAAGUGCGUGAGAGGCUGGGCAAGGUGGUUCAUGCCUGUAAUCCCAGCCCUUUGGGAAGCCAAGGUGGGCAGAUCACCUGAGGUCAGGAGUUCAAGACUAGCCUUGCCAACAUGGCAAAAUCCUAUCUUACUAAAAAUACAAAAAUUUUAAAAAAAUUAAAAUUAAAAUAAAAAAAUUAGCCGGGUGUGGUGGUUGGUGCCUGUAAUCCCAGCUACUGAGGGGGCUGAGGCUGGAGAAUCAUUUGAACCCAGGAGGCAGAGGUUGCAGUUAGCCAAGAUUGCACCACUGCACACCAGCCUGGAAGACAGAGCAAGACUCUGUCUCAAUAAAUAAAUAAAUAAAUAAAAAUAAAAAAUAAAGUUCAUGAGAGCAAUCAGCUCUGGACCCAAAGAAAGUAGUAUCCAAUAGGGGUGCAUGGAGAUCCAGGAAAAAAGGGAUUUGUCUAUGACACUAGGUUGGAACCAAGGUUUUACAUUAGCUGGGUUAUGCUAACUGGGUCUCUGUUGAUAUCUUUAAGGUGGCAAAUAUUGGUCUAUCACUCUGUGAAGGUUGUUGAAUGUAAAUUUAGUUUUAGGUUUUAUUGUUCAUGUAGGUGCAAGUGGAAACGCUAUCAGCUGUGAUCCACUAUGUCUCAUUUAAUAAAACUAGA
rnacentral:lncRNA from 10 species